UGUAAUGGAGUCCUUGUAGCUUGGUACGACUCAUCUACGCGCGCUGUUGAUCGACACCUGCCUUGUUGGGUUAUGUAUGCAUGUCCCUGUACGGAUGUACCGCUUAGGUUUAUAACUAGUCAUGUCGAACCGGGUUCUUUGUCGUUUGAACGCUAGCAACAUAUUCAUAUACAUGAGCCAAAAGAUGCAAAUUGUCCCGGCCAAGGUAAGGUGGCAACCGUGGAGUUUACCGUGCAUGAGGCCGCAAAGUGAUGUGAUGUGUUACAAGCUGGGUUCUUAUGACUCAGGAUCAGGGUCCCGACAAUAAGGGUGGAGAAUUAGAUUACAAAGCUUAAAUAACCACAUUACGUAGGUGUAGGAUUAUUGAUAAAAAAUUCACAUAGGUUGGUGCUGAUUUUUCCUCUCCCUUUUUAGUUGGAGCGAUUUUGUUUUUGAAAGAUAGAGUGAGGGUUGGUGUUGAAUAAUUUUCCAUUUAUAUAGCCAAGGGAACAGGGACCGGACAAUCACUGACCGAUGUGCGUUUAUCAUCUUGAUGCUGCCAUACUCCAAAAGUAGAUAACUUAUGCCAGUCGUUCUACCUUCAGAAUUCGAACGCUGGACUGAUAAUAUAAUGAGAAAGCAUUGCCUAAGCAUCCCUUAAGUAUUGCACAACAUGGAAUAAAAAUAGUACCAAAUGGAGGUACUGAAUUGUGGCUCCUCGGGAUUACAGCUACAUCAACACCCACUACCACAUGAUAAUUGAAUACAUGUAGUGGCGCCAUUUGUGCCACUGCUACUUAACAUUGGUUGGAUAAUGCAUUUCCUUGUCUUUCUAAAUGACAAGGGGGAAAAAGAGGCAAGAAGUGCACUGAGACGGGAACAUUAGGCAGUACCAAGAUGGCCAUGCGCACUCAGUACGGCGUCUUCCGCAGCUCCCAGACCACCUGGGUGAUCUGAGAGUGUGUCCUCCUGCAGCAAACAGACAGACAACAAAACCAAGAUACUAAUCAGGAUUUUUCGAAGGGGAAUGAAAUCAAUCAGGAUUCAUCUCGUCGAUUCAAGACAAGCAACCAAGAAACCUGGCCGGCAAGAUUGUCCCAUCGGUUCAGUUCAGGGGACAACACAUCUUACGUGGCGCAGUAGAUGGUCGGCGCCUUCUUCUUCUUGGCCGCUGCCGCCGCCUUCUCCAGGAUGCCUGAACAUCAAAGAACCGCCGCCUCCUCCGUCAGGUCCCGCGAUGAGCGUCCAUCACCGGCCGGCUAUUGUCUGCUCCGGCCUGCGCCUCUUCCAUCGAAGGGGCGCGUCAGAGAAGCCGAGGCGACGCGGCGUCUGGUGGUGCUGAUGGAUGCGGUAUGCGCGGGCAUGGCUGCCGCUGACAUGGGAUGGGAGGGGAGGGGAGGGGAGGGGAGGUGUGGAUAGGGGAGGGGAGGUGGGGUGCUGGUGGAUCCGGCCGGGAUGCUGCUGCCGGACGGGGACGGGGAGAAGGAGGGGUGGCCGAAAGGGGAGGGGAGGUGGUGUGGUCUACCCAGUAUGGGAGGGGCCUCUCGAUCGGAUCUGGAAGGGUGGGUGGUUGCUUAGGGUUUCCAUUUCUCGGGAGAAUCUACGUCGUUGGAUGCACUUGUGAUGAAUGGGUCAGAUCGCGUGUGUUGGGGUGAUCCGCGUGAAGGCAAUUCCUCGCGUCUCAUUGACUGACU
rnacentral:lncRNA from 1 species